UUGGAGGGCAAGUCUGGUGCCAGCAGCCGCGGUAAUUCCAGCUCCAAUAGCGUAUAUUAAAGUUGUUGCAGUUAAAAAGCUCGUAGUUGAACUUUGGGGUUUACCCAUUGGUCAGGCUUAAUUGUCUGCACUGGUGAGAUAAAUCUCUACCUUCUGAGGAACUUUCAUGUCAUUAGUUUGGUGUGAUUGGAAAUCAGGACUGUUACUUUGAAAAAAUUAGAGUGUUUAAAGCAGGCUAACGUCUGAAUACAUUAGCAUGGAAUAAUGAAAUAGGACGGACUGAUUCUAUUUCGUUGGUUUCCAGGAUCACCGUAAUGAUUAAUAGGGAUAGUUGGGGGCAUUAGUAUUCAAUUGUCAGAGGUGAAAUUCUUGGAUUUAUUGAAGACUAACUACUGCGAAAGCAUUUGCCAAGGAUGUUUUCAUUAAUCAAGAGCGAAAGUUAGGGGAUCGAAGACGAUCAGAUACCGUCGUAGUCUUAACCAUAAACUAUGCCGACUAGGGAUCGGACGAAGUUAAUUUUAUAAUGACGCGUUCGGCGCCUUACGGGAAAC
rnacentral:rRNA from 1 species